rnacentral:lncRNA from 10 species
CAGGCUCCUAAAGGCAGUCAGAAGAACUAGACUAUACUGCCUGUUGCCUGCAAUGAUAAAACGAAGAAAUAUUGUUCUGGGUUCUUAAAUGAAAACGCACUUUAUUGAGACUUGACUCAAGAAUUACAGAUAAAGAGAUGAAAAGAAAUACCUCCUGCCUCAGCCAUGAAGCCUUCACUGUAGAAACAACACAUGUGCUGACUGUCCCCUGGAACGGCCUCUCUCUUCAGGCCAACACAGUCCACUUUGGUUCUGCCAACCUGCUGACCAACCCCAACAGAUGGAAGGAAGGAAGAGAAAGCCGAGGUGCAGAUGACAUGGCUUAUGCAAUAUUUUUAUUGUGCCAGUAUUCAAAUGUAUUACAUUGAUUUGUUCUGACUGACAAUAAUGUGGAUGCUUUGAUAUCAGUGCGUUGGGUAUUAUCUUCAUUUUACAAAAGAGAAAAACAGACACUCAGACUAACCAAGUGACCUGGCCAAGGUCCCACUGUCACUCUUGACUAUGAAGUCAAAAUCCUUUACAGGGUUUAUCAGUCAGUGCCCUAGCAGGACACAGACAGCGUACUGAAAUUAGGAUAAUGUCAGGAGGGACUACUUAAAAUGGUGUGGAGAGUGUAGACGAACCACAAGGUAAAAUUCCUGUCCUUCUUAAGACUGGUGAGAGUGGAGCAGUUGCCACCAAUAGGCUGAUGAAAUAAGGGCAGAAAUGAUUACUCUGCGGGCUCCUAACCUUUUGUCACUCUGAUGAACUCCAAAGACCCUAUCUCAAGGGAAUGUCUUUAAAUGAAUUUAAUAAAAUACUAAUUACAGGGGGAGGAGCCAAGAUGGCCGAAUAGGAACAGCUCCGGUCU